UCUAUGAAUUGCCCAAGCAUUGACUAGCACCAUUGUGUCUCGCGGUAUAUCAUAGCCUCCAAUAAUACAGUCAUCAGAUGAUUGGUGAGGCGCUAAAAGUGGUGCUGCUGGCUUCAAUCGCAUUGAUUCAUUUAUGAUGCUUUGCAUGUAUGGCAAGUUGAGAUAACCGGACUCGUCUACCAAUCGGUUUUGACCAACAAUUUUGUCCACCUCGACUCUAGCCUUCUUUAGCACCUCGGGAUGGUUAAGCAAAAGUGACAUAGUCCACUCAGUUGUUGCUACUGAUGUAUCUGUGCCCGCAACUAUAAUUGUCAGUAAGAGGCCUUUGAUGAUUUCAUCAGAAUAGUUCUCAGGUUCAGAUUCUUGUAAAGAAAGCAUAUUAUCAAUCAUUGUCUUAGUCCUUCCUUGUUCUUG
rnacentral:misc_RNA from 1 species